rnacentral:lncRNA from 1 species
AGAUGGGGGACCGCCUGGAGAGACUGGGCUGGAGGCUUUUGGAUUGCCUCUCCAUUCCCACUUUCCCCUACUAGUCACAAUGCUUCCCAACUGCCUCUUGACUCUCUAGUACCCCGUUUCCCACCCACCUGUGCCCCCCCCCCCCGUGGCCCGCUACACCCCUCCCCCCGUGGAAGUCAGUCUCGGCAUUCCCGGGCAUCAUAGCAACAUGAGGGCGCCCCAGCCCGGAAGGGCCCAGGACCUCCCAGUGGGUUUCGGUCCCAGCAGCCCGGGCGCCACAGCAGUCUGACAGCGCCCCAUCCCAGAAGCUCACCUGCACCCCUGCUGUGGAAGAAAACCUACCUAUGGGGGUACUCCCUGGCAGCCCAUGAUGCCAUAGUAGCCUGAAAGUGCUCAAGCCCAGAAAACAAUAGUUACUUCUGUGAGAUGAAUGGAAACUAUGUUCCAAUGGGAUCCAAAAUGUCCCUUCAAAAAUUCUACAAAAAGACUGCUUCCAAUCUGCUUAAUCAGAACAAAGGUUUAACUCCAUGAGAUGCAUCCAAACAUUGCAAAGCAUUUUCACAUAUAGCUUUUUUCUAGUUUUUAUCACGGGAUAUUCGUUUUUUCACUAUAGCCCCAAUUAGCUCCAAAAUGUCCAUUCAUAGAUUUUACAAAAACAGUGUUUCUAACAUGCUGAAUGAAAACAAAGGUUUAACUCUGUGAUGUGAAUCCACGCAUUGGAAAGCG